UACGUAGGUCCCGAGCGUUGUCCGGAUUUAUUGGACGUAAAGCGAGCGCAGGUAGUUUAUUAAGUCUGGUGUAAAAGGCAGUGGCUCAACCAUUGUAUGCAUUGGAAACUGGUAGACUUGAGUGCAGGAGAGGAGAGUGGAAUUCCAUGUGUAGCGGUGAAAUGCGUAGAUAUAUGGAGGAACACCGGUGGCGAAAGCGGCUCUCUGGCCUGUAACUGACACUGAGGCUCGAAAGCGUGGGGAGCAAACAGG
rnacentral:rRNA from 1 species